GGACCCUCUGUAUCAGCCCGCCCACCUGUACAAUCAGACCCCUUUGAUAGUGACAGUGACCCAGAUGACCCUGAGCCUUUCCAUGGUUUUGAUGCCUCGCCCUAUACAUCAGAUGUAGAUGUUCCCUCAUCAGUUGAUACGAGUAUCACCUCUCCAGAGCCCAAAUCAGUUGAUACGAGUAGUAUCACCUCUCCCAUUCCUUCAGACUCCCAAGCACCUGCCCAUCCCACUCCAUAGCCCAGCCACCCACUCUCAUGUACCAUAUGGCCAUCCCAGUAAGCAAGCCAACCACUAGAAUUUGACUGGCAUGCACCUGUGACUUACAUAAACCAGACCUCUACAUAGCCUACAUGUCUUCAUUUUGCUGAAGACUGCCCAUCAUCCUAGCCUGUUAUCUGUGAUAAAGCACACUGAAGUUAGGUUUGGAAUGCAUCCUUAUCAUGAAUGCUCUACACCUCCACCUCCAUCUUCCACAACCUAGGUAACAGCUUUGAGACUCACUAAAAGUUGAACCCCCUGAAUGAUGUAGGCUAUGGGGCCACAUAAGACUUUGUCCAUCCAGGGUUACGUUGAAUGCCAAAUUUAAACUAAAGAACCAACAUUUUUCACACAACUCCAGGUUGUUACUACAAGUGUCAUCAAGGGAUAACUACAAGUAGAAGCACCAUUUUUGGAUGGAAAAAACCCUUCAGGAAAGUAUACGUAUCACAUGUAACAUGUAGUGUAACAAAGUAUGAACAGUAAGGUUUUUACAUACAGUAGUACAUAUUACAUACGUACAUAACUUUUUUUUACAGGAAUUUCCAACCAAGUUUGAUUAUGUACAUAUGUACAUGUUAUAAACCACUGUACGUAUGGUUACUGUAUGUAACUUACUAAACAUACAUAACAUGACUUAAC